UGGUGUCCAAAAUGGUGGGAAAACAAUGAAAAUUUGUCUAUUAUGAAAAAGGUUUUUGACUUUUGGUCUUGAAGUUAUCUAAGUUAUAUCUGCUAUUUAUAAGGUUUCACAUGAUGGGUAGAUUUUUGUUAAGAACAGUGUAUUGGUGUACAAAAGUGAAUACUAAUCUUGUUCGUCAAAAACUCUCCAGUAUUGUAAAAAGACACAUAUGCUUUUCACCUUGUACUAUUUUUCUUUACACCAUAUUUAGAACUUUAGGCACGGAACUGUAGAUGUUAAAUUUUGAGUAGAACAAGGUGCUCAGCGGAUCAGCAGCAUCUCUGGAUGACAUGGAUAGAUUAAGUUUUGGCUCGGGACUCUUCUUCAGACUGAUUGUACUGGGGGAAGACAGCUGGAAAGGAGGUGGGGGCAGGGCUAAGUCUGGCAAGUGAUAGGAAGUAGAGUCCGAAUGGUUGAAGACAUGAUGUAAGAAGUGUCCAAAAAAACAGCAACAACACUUAUCAUGAAAUAAAAUAAUAAUCUUGCAGCAAAACUAAUACAAUAUUUUUGAGUAGUUAAUCAAAUUAGUAAAAGCAGUUUACAGGAAGAGUUUGGAAAAUGCAUUCAGGACAAUUUUCUGCAACAAUGUGUAGUGUGAACAGCCAGAGAACAAGCUAUCUGAGAUGUUCAGUGUGAUGAAACAGUAAUUAGUAAUCUCACAGCAAUAGAUCAAGGGAAAAUAAUUAUCACUGAAUUUUACAUGCACUUUUGGAAAACAUCUCAGUCCAAAACUGGAAUUAUGAAUUUCAUUAAAUCCAAUUAUGAGUAUUGGAGUAUGUAUUGUAGAGUUACAUUGGAAAAUUAGUAUAAUACGUUUGCUCAUACAUAAACAGCAGUAAGGAUUUAAAGAGAUAUUUCAAAUUUCGCAACAAAUUAAGAUUCCAUGGAGAAAUGUUAAAAGUCUGCGUUGAAAGUGAUUUGUCUGUGACUAACCAAGAAAUUUAAGAAUUACAUUUAAUUACACGAGGCUUACUGUAAAACACAGGAGUUUGGUGGUGCCAGACAAACAGGUUUUAGAACUAUUGGAUAUUACUCAUAUUAAUGCAUAAACAGGCUUUUAAUUUACUUUUUUUUUUUCAGAUGACACAGUGGUAUAAAUCUUCUAGGGAAUCUGGUGAAUUUAAAGGAAGCGGAGGAAACAAAGCCCCAUAAAUUUAAAGGGAUUGCUGAAAACAGGUCCUCGGAUGUUAAAGAGAACAAUACCCAUGUAUGUUUAAAGGGACUGCUGGAAACGGAAUCAGGUGCCUCCUCAAAGCUGACCAAGGUGCAGCAGUGACAUCCUUACCAUUCCUUGCUAAUGAUCCCCACAACCCAUUCUACAACUGAAGACAGCAGCAUGGAUGCGAGAAUAGAAAAGAAGCAUUAUAUCAAAUGGAGAAUACUGUACAAAGCCACCACAGAAAUACUUUCAUUAAAAUGCAAGAGUUUUGCAUACUUCACAUUGCACACUCACCUGAAAAUAAAUAACAAGUUAUUGGUUAAAUUCGUCCUCCAUCACACCAACUGACCUGAUUAUCCAGGCCAACACUUAAUGUAGUACCGAGAUGACAGCUUAAAAUACUUCAUUGCAGCCUGCGGUGGGGUUUGUAGUAUGUUCAAAUUCACACAUUUGAGCAGUACAAGCCUGGCAACAAGAGGCAGAGCCUAGACCUUUAAAGAAGGGAUUUCAUUUCUACAGUGAUCUCAGCUACUUUACUGUCAAUGCAAUGCAUUUGACGUGCAGAGACUGUUGUGAUAUCGGCAACAUGACUUUCAAUUCCCAUAAAUAGCAAUUUUAACAGUGUUUUAACAUCCUAUCUGAUAUCCUUCUCACAUCUACAGUUUGGUGCAGUCGGAUAAUAGGCAAGGUACUGGACUGGUAUUCGCAGAUCUGGGCUUUUAACUGAGAGGCUCAAGUCUGAAUUCAACAUGAUCAGCUAGGUGCUUUGAAAUCAAGUAAUUAAAUGAAUCUGGAAUUAAAAACUAACGAUCAAUGAUUGUGAUCCUAGACUUAUCAAACUAUCAUUAAACUCAUCUAGUUUACUAAUCUUCUUCAGAAAAGAAAAUCAGCUGCUCCUGCAUAGACUGGACUAAAGGCAACUACAAACCACAGCAGGAGCAUUGAUGCCUUACAUCCUGUAUCUCUAAAGUUCAAAGCAACCUGAAACGUCACCCAUUUCUUCUCUCCAGAGAUGCUGCCUGUCCCAUUGAGUUACUCCAGCUUUUUGUGUCUAUCUCAGAAAAAGAAUGAUUAGCAAUAAAUGCCAGUGACAUCUACAUUCUACGAAAAAAUAAAAGUACACUGCCUGUUUCAAAGAAUCAUCAGACAGGACUUUCUGCACAAACUCAGAAGUGAAAGUAUAACUGAAUAAAUCACUGCUAACAGGUUGGCUUUGAUACAAAUGAAAUAUCAGUGCAGCCAAAAACAUGCCAGUACAAUCAACCCCUUUAAACCCUUGACAAGCAAUUGAGCUCAUUCUCCUGAACUAUCAACUCACCAAUAAUUUUCAGAAUAACCGAGGGCUAACCAAUGCUACAAUGGUCCUCCCUAAACACACAAAUGUAUGAAGAGCAUACACUCGGUUGUUAAAAAACACCUGAAACAAGAAGCAGUGAGAAUGCCAGAGACCGCAGCAUAUGGUCUCUUUGUUCUUUUGGAUAUUCUGUUCUUUCCAUUUUCUCUGUAUCCUUGCCCUGUUCUUAUACAACAAAAUAUCCAAAUAACUUCCGCAAAAGCUCAGAAAAAGUGGUAGACUUUUAAGAUCACCUCAAAAUAGAAUGGCUUAGAGGGAAUUGUGAGCUUUGGGCCAAAACAUAACGUGGUCUCUGACAGAAUUCGAGAACUCUCAGACGAUUCUAGAGGUUGGAAGAGGUCACAAAGAAAUGACAAAGAGAAGCCUCAAGUGAUGCUCUAAGUACUCUAGCAUUGUCAGAACGGGAGUCAGAGUGAUGAGAGAAUGAGAACUGAGAAAAGCUCGACAAUUGUGUGGCUACCUGAUUUUUUUCUUUCUCUGCCACUGUAAGGGGUAGGGUAAACAAUAAUCUGACCUGCAACAAGUAAUUCAUGCUAAGGAGACCACUGAGGUUAAGACCAGUUAACCUUCCACGAGGGAUACAAACACAAUGAUUCAUCAAGGCAGGGGCUUCUAAUGAGCACUAUAUGUGCAAUGUUACUGUUACAACAGUUUGAAGAUGCUCAACAUGAUGCUAAAAAAAUGUAUUUAUACAUUUUAAUGUGAUUAAAACAUACACUAAUGUCAUAACUCACAAAUUCCUACAAUAAGACAGCGACUAAUCUGAUAUAUUAAUGUAGUGGUGGGAUUUAAACCAAAAAUAUUUAGAAACUGGAAUGCUGGAACUAUUUAUAGACUUUUAAAACAUUUUAGCAUAGUGCACUCUGACCUACAAGUCAUUUUGACCCACUCUGCUAUGGCAAACACCACUCCCAUUGGUCUGCAGGCCACUGCAGGUGUUUCAGCCAAGGGUGACAAACCUAUUAUUUUGGAGAAAUCUUAAGGGAAACUUACCUGAUCAGAAUCACAAAUGUAAUUGUAAUUACGCACAAAGCUUGCUUCUGUGCUAUUUACUUAUGUAUUAAGAGCAAUGUUUCUGUUAAAUUCAAAAGAGUAUGAAUCAAUCAGGUCGGUCUGUCUGUCUAUUACCCACAAUUUCCAUAGAAAUUUGUGGAGGUCGUUUGAGGAGUACUGUAUGGUUGUUUCUCUGUACCCUGUAGAAGUAAAUAGACAAAGCAAGAGCCGGCUUCGGAAGCUGGUUAAUAGAACAUAACAAUGACUAAGAACUGUUUUUUCUGUAAAGCGCCGCGGAACCGAAACUAACCCUGAGUAACCAUUUGCAGAAAUACAAGCACUGGCCUCGACUUUUAAUUCCGUCCCAGUAGCCUGCCGUUAAAAUACGGUGUAUGAAAUACAAGUCAAAAUAGGUUUAUCUGAUUACAUUGUUUGCACAACUCAGUCGAAAUUCUCUGCAUCGCCUGAGAAGCUUCGCUUUUACAGAAAAACGCAGGUAGCGCAAAAAUACCAUUGAGACGUUUCAACCGAGUCUCAAGAAAUCAACAUACAAAAGGAGAUU